rnacentral:rRNA from 1 species
UACGUAGGGUGCGAGCGUUAAUCGGAUUUACUGGGCGUAAAGCGUGCGCAGGCGGCCCGUUAAGACAGGUGUGAAAUCCCUGGGCUCAACCUAGGAAUUGCGCUUGUGACUGGCGGGCUCGAGUACGGUAGAGGGGGGUGGAAUUCCUGGUGUAGCAGUGAAAUGCGUAGAGAUCAGGAGAAACACCGAUGGCGAAGGCAGCCCCCUGGGCCUGUACUGACGCUCAUGCACGAAAGCGUGGGGAGCAAACAGG